CUUUAUCUAGAUAUUGUAUAUACAUAUGUAAAUUUUAUAUGUAGUAAUUCGUGAUAUGUACAAUUAUGUACAAGUUAGAAUCGUCCUCUUUCUUCUCUAUUGAGUUUCCGUGUAUCUGUAAUUAGUAACAGUAUUUUUAUUUUCAGCUUAUCUUGUGCAAUAGAGGCGGUGCUAAUUCUGCAGUCUUAUUGUUAGCCGAAACAAAAUAUCUGCAUGAAGCAGUACGAAAGAUGAAGCGCCGGCGAAUUUGAUUAUUGACUAUUGAGCGAAGCAGCACGUACGAUACAUAAUCAAGAAAAAUGCCGCAAAAAUUACUUGGUCAAAUUUGUGACAAUUGAACGGAAACUCAAUCGGAUCAUUCAUUUUCUAAAAAAUGAAAAUAAUGUACAACGGAAUGAAAUAGAACAAGACAAUGUGUCGUUGUUACCAAAUUUUCCUCUCACUACAGUUGAACAAACAGAAAUGUUCAAUACAGACAUAACAGAUUGGAAGAUAUUAAUGUUCGGCGACAAUUUAUGAAAAAAAUGGCGCAGUUUGGCGGGGAUACCGUAGCCAAACUUGUAAAAAAUAUAAUGUUGGAAACUAUCGGAUAUGAAGCUGCGGCAGCGUACACGUGGACAGGCCAAAAAAAAAGAUUAUCAUUCAAAACAUCGAAACUGGCUGACACAAUAAUUGCAAUUAUUUUGAAGAAAAAGGAUACUACUACAAUUACUGAAGUGGAAGGAUGUAUUCAAGAGUGGUUGAGACGAUCCGGCGACAGAAAGAGAGGCUUAAACAAGUAAAUAUAUUGUAUGUACCUGAUAUGUUAAAUUUGUCAUUUUCUUUGGAAACUAUUAAUUUUAUAUAAUAUUAAUAUACCUAUAACAUAAAACAUUGAUAUUUUGUACUGAAUAAAACUUAAUCUUCGAUCCAUGGGUGCUGGGAUUGUCUUCUUUCGAGAAUAGCGUUGAUUGAUGCUCUUGAUCAAGCUUCAAUCAAUGGGUGCUGGGACUGUUCUCGAAAGAGGAUAGAGUCCGCAUUGAUCGACGACCAAGAUUAAUCUUCGAUCAAUGGGUGCUGGGACUGUCUUCUUUCGAGAACAGAAUCCGUGUUGAUUGACGCUCUUGAUCGAGCUUCAAUCAAUGGGUGCUGGGGUUGUUCUCGAGAGAGGAUAGAGUCCGCAUUGGUCAACGACCAAAGUUAAUCUUCGAAACUGGACUUGGAAACAAUAAAAGUAAGGUAGAGUCCAAGGUAGAGUAAAAAUUCUCGCAAUUCUGUUGUUUUCCAACGUCUCAAUUCAUCCAGAGAACGUGAUUUUCAGAUCAAACUCCUUCGGUACCUACUUUGUACAUUGCAAUUAAUUUUUCCAAGUCUAUUAUAAGUUUGCUUUCACUUUGAUGUUUGAUAACUACUUAUCCAUAACUGCAAUACUUUUUUCAUGACUCCUAGACAUGACAUAUCAAGUACAUAUAAUUUAAAGAGAACUGUGUAACAUUAGCAGUUGUAUUAACUCGAAAGGAGAUAUAACCAGUAUGACGAUUUUGUGAUUGUAAUAAGUACCUAAUUCUUGUAUACUUUCCACAUCCAAAAAAUCUGUUAUGUGCAAUUUAUUUAAAUAUAAUUAUAUAUGCUUGUUAUAAUUCUAACAAG